UACGUAGGAGACGAGCGUUGUCCGGAAUCACUGGGCGUAAAGCGCGUGUAGGCGGGUGAGCAAGUCUGCUGUGAAAACUCCUGGCUUAACCGGGAGAGGUCGGUGGAAACUGCUCGUCUGGAGGACGGUAGAGGCUGGUGGAAUUCCCGGUGUAGUGGUGAAAUGCGUAGAGAUCGGGAGGAACACCUGUGGCGAAGGCGGGUCUCUGGGCAACAACUGACGCUGAGGAGCGAAAGCGUGGGGAGCGAACAGG
rnacentral:rRNA from 1 species